rnacentral:rRNA from 1 species
GAUGAACGCUGGCGGCGUGCCUAAUACAUGCAAGUCGAACGCACAGCGAGAGGUGCUUGCACCUUUCAAGUGAGUGGCGAACGGGUGAGUAACACGUGGACAACCUGCCUCAAGGCUGGGGAUAACAUUUGGAAACAGAUGCUAAUACCGAAUAAAACUCAGUGUCGCAUGACACAAAGUUAAAAGGCGCUUUGGCGUCACCUAGAGAUGGAUCCGCGGUGCAUUAGUUAGUUGGUGGGGUAAAGGCCUACCAAGACAAUGAUGCAUAGCCGAGGUGAGAGACUGAUCGGCCACAUUGGGACUGAGACACGGCCCAAACUCCUACGGGAGGCUGCAGUAGGGAAUCUUCCACAAUGGGCGAAAGCCUGAUGGAGCAACGCCGCGUGUGUGAUGAAGGCUUUCGGGUCGUAAAGCACUGUUGUAUGGGAAGAACAGCUAGAAUAGGGAAUGAUUUUAGUUUGACGGUACCAUACCAGAAAGGGACGGCUAAAUACGUGCCAGCAGCCGCGGUAA